rnacentral:rRNA from 1 species
CCUACGGGGAGCAGCAGUGAGGAAUUUUGCGCAAUGGGAGCAAUCCUGACGCAGCAACGCCGCGUGGGUGAUGAAGGCCUUCGGGUCGUAAAGCCCUGUCAGGUGGGAAGAAUGUCCCGGAACUGAACAGGUUUCGGGAGUGACGGUACCACCAGAGGAAGCACCGGCUAACUCCGUGCCAGCAGCCGCGGUACUACGGAGGGUGCAAGCGUUAUUCGGAAUUACUGGGCGUAAAGCGCGUGUAGGCGGUACUGCAAGUCUGAUGUGAAAGCCCCGGGCUUAACCCGGGAAGUGCAUUUGAAACUGCAGGUCUUGAGUACUGGAGAGGAUGGGGGAAUUCCCGGUGUAGAGGUGAAAUUCGUAGAGAUCGGGAGGAAUAUCAGUGGCGAAGGCGCCCAUCUGGACGGUAACUGACGCUGAGACGCGAAAGCGUGGGGAGCAAACA